UGAGAGGUCAGGUGAUACUGCAGGCUAGAGGGCAGAGAGGGUGCGGAAUUCCGGGUGUAGUGGUGAAUGCGUAGAUAUCGGAGGAACACAGAGGCGAGGCGGCGCCCUGGACUGUGCCUGACGCUGAGACGCGAAAGCAUGGGUAGCGAACGGGAUUAGAGACCCCGGUAGUCCAUGCCGUAAACGAUGCACACAGAUGUUCGUCUGGUACUGCCAGAUGAGCGUCGCAGCUAACGCGAUAAGUGUGCCGCCUGGGGAGUACGGUCGCAAGGCUAAAACUCAAAGGAAUUGACGGGGACCCGCACAAGCAGCGGAGCGUGUGGUUUAAUUCGAUGCUACACGAAGAACCUUACCUAGGUUUGACAUCCCCUGAAGGCCCUGGAAACAGGGAAAUACCCGUAAGGGACAGGGAGACAGGUGCUGCAUGGCUGUCGUCAGCUCGUGUCGUGAGAUGUUCGGUUAAGUCCGAGAACGAGCGCAACCCUCGGUGUUAGUUACAAGUGUCUAACACGACUGCCUGCGACAAGCAGGAGGAAGGUGGGGAUGAUGUCAAGUCAGCAUGGCCUUUAUAUCUAGGGCUACACACACGCUACAAUGGCGCGUACAAUGGGUCGCGAAGCCGCGAGGUGGAGCCAAUCCUAAAAAGCGCGUCGUAGUUCAGAUUGUAGGCUGCAACUCGCCUGCAUGAAGCCGGAGUUGCUAGUAAACGCGCAUCGAGCAUGUCGCGUUGAAUACGUUCCCGGGUCUUGUACACACCGCCCGU
rnacentral:rRNA from 1 species